rnacentral:misc_RNA from 1 species
UGGAACUUAGCUUUCUCGGGGUAUAUUGAUAAUAUCAAGUAAAAAUGCUGGAAUAUCCUAUAAGAAACAAAUGGAAUUACUUAACCUAAAAGAAUCAACCAGAAGAGGACAAGAAAAUCAGAACAGGAACAUUUUUUCCACUAUCGGCAUUAACAGAUAAGACAAAUCUGUCAAGUUAACAAACAAAUGGUGCACAAGCCUUUCCCUUGAUGCAAGGAAAAAGGCCUAAGAUUAAAUUGGUGGAUAGCUAGUUUAUGGGAUUUGGAGUUUUGGACUCACCUAAUAGAACCUAAACCUUUCCAAACAAUGACAUCUGCUGGCUCCACUCAACAAUGAGUAAGAUAUGACACAUUAAAAUGAAACUUUAGAGAAAAUACUGCAACAGUCCAGGACAUAAAAAAUUAAAAGAAACAAGUUACCAUUUCUGAGAGGGAAAAAAAAAGGAGCUUAAGUAAAAAAUUCUGAAACUCCUAAAUGCAUGUUUAGUCCAAACAAAAUAUAACAGUUCAAUCAAAUAAAUAAAGCUUCCCAUCAAUUGAUUUAAAUCCUCUUUUUU